AUUGAACGCUGGCGGCAGGCCUAACACAUGCAAGUCGAGCGGAGCGGCGGACGGGUGAGUAAUGCCUAGGAAUCUGCCUGGACGUGGGGGAUAACGUACGGAAACGGGCGCUAAUACCGCAUACUAUCAGAUGAGCCUAGGUCGGAUUAGCUAGUUGGUGGGGUAAAGGCAUACCAAGGCUACGAUGCGUAAAUGGUCUGCGAGGAUGAUCAGUAACAUUGGAACGGAGACACGGUCCAGACUCCUACGGGAGCCAGCAGUGGGGAAUAUUCGGCAAUGGGCGAAAGCCUGAUCCAGCCAUGCCGCGUGUGUGAAGAAGUUCUUCGGAUUGUAAAGCACUUUAAGUUGGAAGGCGUUACCAACAGAAUAAGCACCGGCUAACUUCGUGCCAUCAGCCGCGGUAAUUC
rnacentral:rRNA from 1 species